UAAAUUAGUUGGGAUCCUUGCCUGCC
rnacentral:piRNA from 1 species